UACGGAGGGUGCAAGCGUUGUCCGGAUUUACUGGGUGUAAAGGGCGUGUAGGCGGAGUGAUGUGUCGGGAGUGAAAUCGUGCGGCUUAACCGUAUCAAUUGCUUCCGAAACUGUCACCCUUGAGUACUGGAGGGGCAGAUGGAAUUCCUGGUGUAGCGGUGGAAUGCGUAGAUAUCAGGAAGAACACCGGUGGCGAAGGCGGUCUGCUGGCUGGUUACUGACGCUGAGGCGCGAAAGUGCGGGGAGCAAACAGG
rnacentral:rRNA from 1 species